rnacentral:rRNA from 1 species
UACGAAGGGGGCUAGCGUUACUCGGAUUGACUGGGCGUAAAGGGCGCGUAGGCGGUUCGUACAGUCAGACGUGAAAUUCCUGGGCUCAACCUGGGGGCUGCGUUUGAUACGUGCGGGCUUGAGUUCGGAAGAGGGUCGUGGAAUUCCCAGUGUAGAGGUGAAAUGCGUAGAUAUCGGGAGGAACACCAGUGGCGAAGGCGGUUGCCUGGGGCUUUGCUGACGCUGAUGCGCGAAAGCGUGGGGAGCGAUCCGG